UCAGGCUACAAAGCUCAGAUCCAGGUUUCGUGAAGUUUGGGGGUUGCUGGGCUCAGGGUCUGGGGCUCAGGCCUAUUUCUCACCCCUCCUUUCCCCAGCAGGGAGGACGGAACGUUUGGGAAGCCAGAGCCGUUGUUUGCGGAGCUGGAGAAGAGACUCAGCGAUUUCUCUCUGCAAAGUGCCAUGCUGCAGGAGGUGUUGCUGGGAUUCAAAGAGACGCUGCGACGGGAGCUGGGGAGCGACACAGGCUACAGAAUAACGUCCACG